GGUGAGAUGGCCGAGCGGUCUAAGGCGCCAGACUAAGGAACAACCAGGAUAUUUGAUAUCUACCGGGCACGCAACCCACCAAAUCUGGUCCUCCGGGGCGUGGGUUCGAAUCCCACUCUCAUCA